AACGAACGCUGGCGGCAGGCCUAACACAUGCAAGUCGAACGAAGUCUUCGGACUUAGUGGCGCACGGGUGAGUAACACGUGGGAAUAUACCUUACGCUGGGGGAUAACAUCGGGAAACUGAUGCUAAUACCGCAUACGCCCUUCGGGGGAAAGAUUUAUCGGCGAAAGAUUAGCCCGCGUCCGAUUAGCUAGUUGGUGAGGUAAUGGCUCACCAAGGCUCCGAUCGGUAGCUGGUCUGAGAGGAUGACCAGCCACACUGGGACUGAGACACGGCCCAGACUCCUACGGGAGGCAGCAGUGGGGAAUAUUGGACAAUGGGCGCAAGCCUGAUCCAGCCAUGCCGCGUGAGUGGUGAAGGCCUUAGGGUUGUAAAGCUCUUUCACCCACGACGAUGAUGACGGUAGUGGGAGAAGAAGCCCCGGCUAACUUCGUG
rnacentral:rRNA from 1 species